rnacentral:rRNA from 1 species
UGUAUAAUGGGUCAGCGACUUAUAUUCUGUAGCAAGGUUAACCGAAUAGGGGAGCCGAAGGGAAACCGAGUCUUAACUGGGCGUUAAGUUGCAGGGUAUAGACCCGAAACCCGGUGAUCUAGCCAUGGGCAGGUUGAAGGUUGGGUAACACUAACUGGAGGACCGAACCGACUAAUGUUGAAAAAUUAGCGGAUGACUUGUGGCUGGGGGUGAAAGGCCAAUCAAACCGGGAGAUAGCUGGUUCUCCCCGAAAGCUAUUUAGGUAGCGCCUCGUGAAUUCAUCUCCGGGGGUAGAGCACUGUUUCGGCAAGGGGGUCAUCCCGACUUACCAACCCGAUGCAAACUGCGAAUACCGGAGAAUGUUAUCACGGGAGACACACGGCGGGUGCUAACGUCCGUCGUGAAGAGGGAAACAACCCAGACCGCCAGCUAAGGUCCCAAAGUCAUGGUUAAGUGGGAAACGAUGUGGGAAGGCCCAGACAGCCAGGAUGUUGGCUUAGAAGCAGCCAUCAUUUAAAGAAAGCGUAAUAGCUCACUGGUCGAGUCGGCCUGCGCGGAAGAUGUAACGGGGCUAAACCAUGCACCGAAGCUGCGGCAGCGACGCUUAUGCGUUGUUGGGUAGGGGAGCGUUCUGUAAGCCUGUGAAGGUGUACUGUGAGGCAUGCUGGAGGUAUCAGAAGUGCGAAUGCUGACAUAAGUAACGAUAAAGCGGGUGAAAAGCCCGCUCGCCGGAAGACCAAGGGUUCCUGUCCAACGUUAAUCGGGGCAGGGUGAGUCGACCCCUAAGGCGAGGCCGAAAGGCGUAGUCGAUGGGAAACAGGUUAAUAUUCCUGUACUUGGUGUUACUGCGAAGGGGGGACGGAGAAGGCUAUGUUGGCCGGGCGACGGUUGUCCCGGUUUAAGCGUGUAGGCUGGUUUUCCAGGCAAAUCCGGAAAAUCAAGGCUGAGGCGUGAUGACGAGGCACUACGGUGCUGAAGCAACAAAUGCCCUGCUUCCAGGAAAAGCCUCUAAGCAUCAGGUAACAUCAAAUCGUACCCCAAACCGACACAGGUGGUCAGGUAGAGAAUACCAAGGCGCUUGAGAGAACUCGGGUGAAGGAACUAGGCAAAAUGGUGCCGUAACUUCGGGAGAAGGCACGCUGAUAUGUAGGUGAAGCGACUUGCUCGUGGAGCUGAAAUCAGUCGAAGAUACCAGCUGGCUGCAACUGUUUAUUAAAAACACAGCACUGUGCAAACACGAAAGUGGACGUAUACGGUGUGACGCCUGCCCGGUGCCGGAAGGUUAAUUGAUGGGGUUAGCGGUAACGCGAAGCUCUUGAUCGAAGCCCCGGUAAACGGCGGCCGUAACUAUAACGGUCCUAAGGUAGCGAAAUUCCUUGUCGGGUAAGUUCCGACCUGCACGAAUGGCGUAAUGAUGGCCAGGCUGUCUCCACCCGAGACUCAGUGAAAUUGAACUCGCUGUGAAGAUGCAGUGUACCCGCGGCAAGACGGAAAGACCCCGUGAACCUUUACUAUAGCUUGACACUGAACAUUGAGCCUUGAUGUGUAGGAUAGGUGGGAGGCUUUGAAGUGUGGACGCCAGUCUGCAUGGAGCCGACCUUGAAAUACCACCCUUUAAUGUUUGAUGUUCUAACGUUGGCCCCUGAUCGGGGUUGCGGACAGUGUCUGGUGGGUAGUUUGACUGGGGCGGUCUCCUCCUAAAGAGUAACGGAGGAGCACGAAGGUUGGCUAAUCCUGGUCGGACAUCAGGAGGUUAGUGCAAUGGCAUAAGCCAGCUUGACUGCGAGCGUGACGGCGCGAGCAGGUGCGAAAGCAGGUCAUAGUGAUCCGGUGGUUCUGAAUGGAAGGGCCAUCGCUCAACGGAUAAAAGGUACUCCGGGGAUAACAGGCUGAUACCGCCCAAGAGUUCAUAUCGACGGCGGUGUUUGGCACCUCGAUGUCGGCUCAUCACAUCCUGGGGCUGAAGUAGGUCCCAAGGGUAUGGCUGUUCGCCAUUUAAAGUGGUACGCGAGCUGGGUUUAGAACGUCGUGAGACAGUUCGGUCCCUAUCUGCCGUGGGCGCUGGAGAACUGAGGGGGGCUGCUCCUAGUACGAGAGGACCGGAGUGGACGCAUCACUGGUGUUCGGGUUGUCAUGCCAAUGGCACUGCCCGGUAGCUAAAUGCGGAAGAGAUAAGUGCUGAAAGCAUCUAAGCACGAAACUUGCCCCGAGAUGAGUUCUCCC